UUUUGCCUCUCAGUGUUCAAGCUUGAGCCCACGCAUCCAACUCCUGAGAUCUUACUGGGAAGCUGCUGAUCAUCAGUUUCAGUCAGCAUGGAUCAGCCUUACGUUCAUGGCCUCCAGGCCCUAUUCUCCUGCCUCACAGGGACCGGCCAGGAUCUCUAUCCUUACAGCACGUUGGAAUGUAUAUGCUCCUCUCCCCACAUCGCCUUAGGGAGCAGGCAGGUGUCAGGGGCAGCACAAGGACGGCCAACAGGACAGAAGACGGGUUGAAGAUCCGAGAGGCUGAGUCACUUCCACAAAGUAACACAGCUGAUUUUAAAUGCCUGCAUUCAGCAUCCCUGCAGCAGGCUCCAGGUGGAAUUCUAAUGGGACCAGCCUCCAGUCCCUGGACCUUAGCCGUGGAAGGAGAGAAGAGGACAUCUGCACCUCCUCUCAGAGAAAGCCUGAUGCCUACUAAAGGACUUGGGUGGUGGACGCAGUGACCCUCAGUCUGGAGCUUGUUCACUGAACAUUGGAGACUAUCAUUUGCGCAGAUGGUCUUGGGCCUCUAUGAGCAGCAGGCUGCACCCCACAGUGACCUCCUCAUUCUACUCUGAGGCAUCUUCAUGAAAGCAGAUGUCCAUUGAAAAGCACCCAAGUGCAGUCUCAGCUGAUGAACUUCAGAGGCGAUUGAGACAAAGGCUCUCGGUCCCCUCUGCCCUUGGAUGGUGCCUCUGGUAUGCACUUGGCCUCUGUGUCUUUAUUUAGACUGGUCACUUCACAACCCAUCAUGUCACCCCACCCCUAACCGUGCCCACUCUGGGUCCUCCCCUCAACUGCCUGACUUCCCACUUUGAGCUCAGCAAAGGCAAUAGAUGUUUUGUCUGCUUCGAUACCCUAAAUGCAUGGCGUGGAAGCUGGCACACAGUGGGCCCUUGAAAUUUGGGAGUGAAUAUGUAUAUAUAUUAUAUUCCAACCUCAACUUUCCUCACUGCUCCUCAUAGUAGGAAUGGAUUGUAAAACUUCCCAGAAUGUUCAAGAGGAGAAAGGAGAGAAAACAGCCUGGAAUUUGAGCUAAGGGGCCCACAGCCCAGCCACCAAGCCAUCUGUAAAAUGGGGUGGGAAUAUGACAUGAGCCACAGGGGUGCUAUGAGGGUUAAUGAGGUCACCGUGCGAUGUACCAUGCCAACAUGAAUAACCAGACCUCUUGA
rnacentral:lncRNA from 1 species